ensembl:lncRNA
CAGAACUCUGGAAUUCUGUAGACUCAGUAUUCUAAACACUGAGGGGCUCCUCAGAGCCAAUUCUAAUAAUUGAGUAGGUCAGGUUGACCGCUACCUGUGAGGUUUAAGACCUACUUGCUGUGUGCUCCCUCCACCCCCAACACAAUGCCCAUCCCUUGGCUACAUUUCCAGAAAUUCCAGGGUUAAGAAUUCUAAUAGACUGGCCUCAGGAGAAGAAAACAGAAAAAGGUGAUUAGUCGUGGAGCUGCUGGUGAGAGAGAGGACUAAGGAAUACACCCAGAGCCCCAGAAUGAAGCUAACAAGAAAACUGACUGAAAUGCUCCAAGUAGGAGAGUGAGUCAUAGCAGCUCUGGAUCAGUAACCCAGGUAGCGGGAAGAGGCAAAGUGGAGAAGAGGAUUCAUUCUAAACUUAAGGGUAGCAUGUGGGGAGCCACUUGAGGUCCUUGCUUGCUCUGCUGUUAAAGGGGGACUGUAAAUAUGUCCUAUGAGAGGCUGCAUGCAUGCUUGUAAACAUUCUUUUCUGUAAGUGAUUACGACAACCAUAAGAAAUAGGAAGUCAGUAGGUGACUUAUGUUAUUUGUACAUUACAAGGAUAAUUGUACUAUAGUUAAUACAACACUGAAGAACAAUGUAAAAUAUAUUUUUGCUUGUUCUCACAUCUGUGCUAGUGAAAGAGGUAAUAUGAGGAAAAUGAACGAGAGCAAUUGAGUAAAACUACUGUCUUCUUGGGCCUUUGAGUGGGCACACGUUUCUUUGUCUGCCCAGCAUCCUUUUGGGGGAACACAUCUUCCACCCUCAUUCUAAAGUACUCCCAAUCAGCUGGUUUGGCCCAAGGAGGGGUAUGUGAUCCAGGCUCAGUCAAUCAGAGGAUUUUAUCUUCUUAGUCACAGUGAUUAGUUGAUGAAAGAGUAUGUGAUAGAAGUUGGACCAGUCAGAAGUCUCUCUGGAUAUUUUAUCAGCUAUCCAGAAAAAUACCCUUUCUCUAGGAUCAUAGGCUCUAAGAACUCUGGAGGUUGGGGGCAGCCAGAGUCCAUCUUCCUGCCACGUGGAGUCAACUUGAAGAUGAAGCCAAGCAGAGGCACGCAGUGUGUAGAGAGUGGGGAAGAGAGGCCCUAACUGAUACUGUAUCCAUUCUAAGGGAUCCUUGUGUGGAUGUGCCUGAGUAGCAGGGCAGGUUUCUACCAGCCUCUGAGAAUGGGGCAGUCAGGGCUGUGACUCACCCUGGAACCAGCUGUCCUUGUCAAGAGGGGCCAAGCUCUCCCGGGAAACUUACAGUGGAAGGAGACUGACGACAGCAAAUAGCCAGCUGGGCCUACUUGUAGGUACUGGCCUUUGGGUGACUUCAAGAUUAGUUUAUAGCUGCCCGCUCUCCCCAGAGCCUUCCUGUGUCCCCCACUGCCUCAGGUCAACCUGAGUUACCCAAUUCAUCUGGUGAAAAGAGUGAAGAAGAAGUAGGAAGACUGAGAUAGCGUCCAAGUCCAACAGAAUUCGUUUUCUUGUCUUUCUCACGCAUCUGAUCUUAAGAAGCUUGAAGGCAGGGCCCGUGUCUCCCGCUAUAGGACCUUCAGCCCCAGAACUCGGUGCCACAUGUCCUGAUGCUGGCGCUGGUUUGGGGCCACCAGGAGAAGAGCGGAAGUCUCGUGCCCAACCCCCCGCCCUCCAAUCACUGAGACAACACCAGCAGCCACUUACCUGGAGAUGCGCUGUUAGAGGAGAGAAAAUGAAAGCCACGCUCUGUGCCGUCGGUUUCUGUUCCAGCUGAUGGAAAUCCCUGACUGAUGAAUGAAAACUAGAGGAAAAGCUCCAAGAGAACAGAACCGGGAGAGACGCUUUCCCCCCUCUCGAGGAGCACGGGGCGAUGCGUCUGGCCUGGGUUCGAGGUGCAAACCUGUUAUCUCGUUCUGUGCCCCUGAGCCAGUCACUCUGCCCCCCAAGGCCCACUGUCAAGGCAGGACCACCGCGCUCUGACUCCCCCAUGCCCACAACUGUCGUGAUGUCCUCCUGCUGUGCCGUGGGCCCCAGGACCCAGCUCAAAGUCUGAUGACACGCGGCCAAUCCCUCUGCAGCGAGGCCUUUGGAAAUCGCAGUGUCCCCGGGAAGAGCCUCAGACACCUGCUGUGUCAUUUCCAAGACCGUCUUCUCCAGAAGUGCAUCCAUCCAGUGUGUGUUCUUUACGUCUGGCUUUCGUUCUUUAUGUUGGUUUUGACCAGCGUGAUGUUUGCGAGACGCGGUCACAUUGCACACGGCUGUCGUUAAUUCAGCGUAUAGCGUCGUACUGUGUGAAUAAUCA